rnacentral:rRNA from 1 species
AGUAACUAAUAUGUAAAAGUUUACUAAUACAUGAUAAUAUAUAUUUACGGCAUCGUAGAUAUAUCAAAGUGUUAGCGGUAUAGGAUGGACCCGCGUCUGAUUAGCUAGUUGGUGAGAUAACUGCCCACCAAGGCGACGAUCAGUAGCCGACCUGAGAGGGUGAUCGGCCACAUUGGAACUGAGACACGGUCCAAACUCCUACGGGAGGCAGCAGCC